AAAAAUUUAGUUAAAUUAUAACAUUGAAUUGUCAGAUCAAAAUAACAAAGAAUUAAUUUGUAAUUUUUA
rnacentral:tRNA from 1 species